UGAAGAGCUGGGCAGCUAAUAAUUCACAGGCAUGUGUGUGAUAUAACAGGCCCCUUCGGCUCUGACCCAGCAAUCAAUCAACAGGCAUUUAUGAGUCACCUACCGGGGGUUCGACACUGUCCUGAGCUCUUGCUUCAAAGUCAAAAGCAAAAUGAGUCCCUGCAUUGGAGGAGCUUACCAACUCUCUAUGUACUAGGAGCUUACAUGCACAUGUUAACAAAUCACCUCCGAGUAGCUGCCUCUACCCUUUUGCCUCUCCUAGAACAGCCAUCAUCAUCAACACUGCGGCCAAUAGCGCCAAAGAGAGCAAACCAUUUGAAGCUGCUCAUUCCUAUCCUGAAGAGGAAUUUAUGAGUUUUUUACUCUAAUGGUGAUGAUCAGCAGGAAACAAUAAUUACUUCACCAAAAACAUUCAAGUUAGCCUGAAAUUUGCUGUAUGCUCUUCCUCUAUAAAGCAGAAUCUAAUUUGUACAUUAAUUCCAGCUCCUUCCACACGUGAAAUUAGUGCAAAAAAAUCAUAUGCUGGCUCCCCUCCCCUCUCCCACACAGAAGGGCAUAAAAAUAUACACAAAUAAACACAUUUUGUGAAUGCUGUGAUGCUAAAAACAUGAUGAAGUCCCUUCUCAGUGUAUGCCUUUCUUUUAGGUUUAAUAAAUCACAACCCUGCAAGUAAGGCAGCUCCAAGAAAAAUCAUGAUUUGAUUAAAACACAUAGUUUAACUCUGUCUGACCCCAGAAGGAAAAAUGAUAAACUCUACUGCAAAAUCAGACAGUAGAGUUUCAUAUUUCAAGGAAUUAUAUUCAUUCCUUGAUUCAUUAACGAUGAGCUUCUCUUUAAAGGGA